rnacentral:lncRNA from 1 species
AAUAGUCAUGGUAAGCAGAAUAGUGAAACUUCUAGACGAGUGGUUUGACAUUUCUUGUUAUCACAUUGGUAAUUGUAUUUAAUUAUAGUGUUUUCAUUCGGUGCUAAUUGCUAAAGCAAGGUAAACUAUAUAUUAACUCAAUUUGUAUAUUACACUUGCUACAUUUGUCAUCUGAAGGAUUAGCCAAACCAAAAUAAUCUCAUUUGUAUAUUACACUUGCUACAUUU